AAAAGAAAAAUCAAAAGGGUUCAUCUUGUUGGUCCAUUCGUGCCGUAAUUGGAGAAAAAAAGAGCGUCUCCGUGACUUACACAGCUCAGAACUUUAGUAUCGUUAUCCGUCACAAUUCAACAUUCUUGCGCCAAAACCCACUUCAGAUUUUUCUUUUCACUGGAGGUUGCUGGAUGAAUUGCAGAAGGAGAGCACUGAAGAUACUGUGAGUGUGUUUGUUGCCACUGCAUCUUGCCUGUGUUGGAUCCCUGUUUUCAUCAACGGGUUAUUGUUGCUGUCGUUGUGAUUCCUGAGUAACUCACCGUGUCAAAGGAUAUGGAACUGCUUUCAUCCAGUGCAUCCUUGGUUUUGUUAUAUUAGUGUACUUUUCUCAAAAAUUGAUUAUUAUUUUCCCUCAAACAAUAAUGGAAGCAGCAAAGGUUCUUUCACACUCCAAAACUGCCCCCUUUGGUUUCUCUAUCGUGAGCAACAAAGUGUCUCUGAGACCUUUCAACAAACAUUUUCGUGCCGAUGUACUUGCUAACCGACCCAAGAGCAUUAGUUUUCAAUUCAAUUGUACCCAUGGAAACCCUUUUUCCUCUGUGCCUAAACCAGCAAGAAAAAGGGCUGAUUUAUUGCCUCCUCUCAGUUGCUCGAUUUCCAGCAAUGCCAGCACUGAAUCUCAAAAUCCAGUCCUAGAGUUCUUCAGAAGUCUAUCAUUUGAUUCAAUAAAAGCUACUCUUCUGCAGUUGACUCCAAUUAAAGUUGUGAAGUGGUCUGGGUUAUUGUGCAUCAUAAUUGCAGCCACAAAAUGGACUAUGAAUAUGCUUUUCAGUCCAUUCUUUUGGAUGUAUUUUAGCUGGACUUGGUUGUUCUGGCCAUGGUUGGUGGCAAUAGCGCUUGCAGUUUAUGGGUUAUAUUGUUUUCGGAGACAUCUGCUUGGUGAGGCAAACAUAUUUGAGCAACUGACUAUUGUUACAUCUGUUUUUACAUGGCUCACUCUUGUUCCUCCUGGUCACUUCAAUGGCUACCUUGAAGGCUGGCCUUUUGUUUUCUUUUUUGUGUAUCAUUAUUUCUUUUUCUUCAAUGUUAGCAUUAGAAAGCGGUUAUAUGGAGAUUUUUAUGCUCGGCCUCAUGAUCCAAAAUGGGACAUUAAUGUACCAACCAUGUCUCGCCUACUGUUCAGUGCAGGGGUCAUGGUUGGCCACUGGCUUGCAGCAUUUGAAGGGCCGGAGCUUCACCUCAUUCCUGGUGGGUGGAGCAAUCUUGGAAUCUGGGCUUUAAUCAUCACAACCUUACUAAUGCAAUAUAAUGCAACGUUGUAUCUUGCCAAGUAUUCAGAAAAUGUGGUGGAGCCAAGUGCCGUGGUGCAAUUUGGACCUUAUCGUUGGGUCCGUCAUCCGAUAUAUUCAUCAACAAUGCUUUUGUUUGUAACAUACUGCAUUGCGCUACGAGCACCUCUUAGUAUGCUAUUUAUUGUAGCAGUAUGCUUGUUGUAUUAUAAGCAGAAGGCAGAGAUGGAAGAGGCUUUGAUGGUUGAGACUUUUGGCCAGAGUUAUACAGACUAUGCAAGCAAAGUAAAGUUCAAGCUUAUACCUUUUAUUUAUUAGUUGAUCUCCCGAAGUUUAGUCAGUCAUCAAAAUCUGAUUAUAGUGGCAGGUUUAGGCAAAAGAGAGUGUCAACUCUCAAAAUCCAAGUGUAUUUCUCUGUCUCCUCUUUUCUUUUUUAUCUUAGUGUUUUUAACUUGCCUUAGGUUUCCAUUGAUGUUCUGUUCAGCACGUUGCAAACUUUGGCUGUAUAUUUGUCUAUCUUGAGCUAUUUGCCUUGAUUGGUGCUAAACUAUACAUUGCCUAUUUUUAGAAGCUAAGGUUUCGACCAUACAGCUCCUUUCUGCCUCCGGAUUUUACUUGAAAUAUAUGGUGGGUUUUCAGUACAGGUGUUUGCACUUUACCUUCCUCUAACCCGUGUGAGUUAAUUUUGGUGAGUUUUAUUUUAAAGAUUAGUUAUAUUGUAAUUUGAGAAUGAUUUCAGGUUAUAUGGAGUUAUCUUUAGUCUAUAGCCUAA